rnacentral:rRNA from 1 species
UACAGAGGAUGCAAGCGUUAUCCGGAAUGAUUGGGCGUAAAGAGCUCGUAGGCGGCUUGUCACGUCGGGUGUGAAAGCCCGGGGCUUAACCCCGGGUCUGCAUUCGAUACGGGCUAGCUAGAGUGUGGUAGGGGAGAUCGGAAUUCCUGGUGUAGCGGUGAAAUGCGCAGAUAUCAGGAGGAACACCGGUGGCGAAGGCGGAUCUCUGGGCCAUUACUGACGCUGAGGAGCGAAAGCGUGGGGAGCGAACAGG